AAGACGGCAAUCGAAAAAUGAUUGCAUCCUAUAAAAUAUGGAGUGACGUGCGUUUUAAGUGUAAUGGUUAUCAGUUGCCUUAAAAUGCCUUGGAUAUGUUUAGUCUAGCGAGCACCUUACUAUAGUGCACACGAGACUAAACAAAUCAGAUCUUUAUUUGAGCUUGAAAGCCCGCAGGAAGAAGGACAUGCAUUAAGCAUAUGGAGCGUGGAUGUGAAGACGUGCUGUUUACUUUCACACAAAUCAUAUAACGUGCUUACCGUGUAUUCUUUACUUGGGAAUAACGAUACUAUAAAGGCAUUUAUGUGUAAUGUUGCAUUGACAUUUGACUUCAGUUCUCGAGACUUCUUUGAAGCAAUGUUGUUGUUUCAUUAGGUGAACACGCAGACAGAUCUGAACCCGAUCAGCAUUCUAGGGCUCCCUUUGAAGAACAAUUUGCAGUUUUUAUAGUUUCUUGUUUUCACUUGUUCCGUUGCUUCUAUUGACAUCACUCUGAAGUAUUUGUUUUUGAAAGCAGAACAAGAUAAAAGAACUCAAAUCGGUGAAUGAAAAAAAUCGCUUAGUUUAUUUUAUCUUUUUCAUUCGUCCAGAUAAACAAAUGCUUCAAUAGAACUUUUUUCUUAUUGAUGGAUAUGGCUCUAUCACAUCAACAUUUCAAGAUGACACUGAAAAUGUUUAGGUAAUAGACAAUCCUCACCUGGUCAGGGCAAAAAAUCUCAAACAGAUCGGCCCACAAGAGGUAUAACAGACAAGGAGCAACUCGAGCUAUAACCGAUAACAAAAAAUCAACAGGUCGACCCACAAUAACAGACAAGCUACAGGUCAGCCCACAAUAAAUAACAAGCACACAAAGGCCCACAGUGUUAUAGAGCUGAGAGCAUUGUUGGCUUGUGGACCAGCGCUAUGCUUCUAUUCCACACAUGCUUUCCCUAAAGUGGAUAUUGGUCAACACAGCUGAUUUCCAAGUGCUUCGGUCGUUCGUCACGCCAAGAAAACCUAUGAUUUUAAAGGCUUGACCCGAGUCUAAAACUGGUCACAUUUAGCCGCACUCGAGUAUACCUUUCCCUUACUCGGCUUGUUAGUUUAAUCCUCAUUAUCAAGGAACGCUUUCUUAUCGUGGGCGUUCAAACCUCUCCGUGAAAUUGCCUCCUGGAUCGGGUAGCACACGCUCGCGCGGGGAGGGAAGGGAAAAGAGGUGGUGCAGGCGUGAUGGUGGUGGCGGCGGAUUAAUGCAGUGUUUAUUGCCAAGGUAAUCAAGGCGGGCGGCGUGUUUGCCCCUCGUGGAGCGUACUCCACGCAGCAUACGUCAGCCCAUCGAUCAGCCCGCGUGUGGUCACCUCUAAAGGGGCGUGCAGGCCAGCACGAGGCUCGCGUUCUCGCAUUCUCGCGUUUCCGCUCUCGUCGCGCCUGGCAUGUCGGGACACUUGGUGACAAAGCGCGCUGACGUCAGCCUAUGGUAACCGACACCGUCGUUCUUCUCGUCUGCACGGCAGGCGGCAACCGGUUGAAUGUCAUUUGAAAAGGUAAUUUAGAUCCACGGGCCUGUCACUGCGCAAUAUCGCCGAAGCUGGGUCGGUUCGAAUAUAUGCUGUGAAUCAAGAGACAAGGACGGUCUGGAAUGGAGCCACGCAGCUAGCACCCUUCACCACUCACGCCUGAAAUGCAAAAGUAUGGCGCAAGCUUAGUUUAUACAAACGGUUCUACUGUGCGGCCAGCAUGGCAAAGUGACUCAACACUUCUGGUCAGUGUCCACACACCUCCAUCCCACGGGGCAGCUGUCAGCGGAAGUUUGACCGAACCAGCGGCACAUUUUGGUGGGAGUAGGUGGGAGUAGGAAACCACCGAUUUAUCAUACUGAGGCACACUAUAUACAAAAUAAGCAUUUAGUAUCUUUGGUAUGACUGUCUGACCUCGUUGCGUAAUCCCCGGUGUCAUGUUCUCAGAAAUCCCCCUGCCUCAGAAAUCCACCUUUAGAUAUGCAUUCGUCCUGUUUAAAUAUAAUUUAAUCGGACCUGUUUCUUGGAGGAAGAUACCUUUGUCAAAGUCUAGAUGAAUACUAUGCCAUUGCUCACAUUACGUAUGUAGUUUUAUCGAACAGCACAUGUGAUUUUACUAUCAUACCAAAGAAGACCACACGUCACAUUACUUGAUGGCAGGUGCAUCGACUUUCCUAUCAAAGUUCCCCUGACGUCAUGCCUCGCAACAAGAUUAAACGUGGCAUUAAAAGAGGACGGCAGCAACGAUACUUCAAAUGUUUGUGAUCUUAGCUGGAGGUCGGAGUCACCCAGGGAUGAUUUAUGCUGCAGAAGUUUGAGGUGGUGAGUAGUAGUAGAUGGAGAAGCAGAAUCUGGCGAUCGUGAACAAAACGAUCACGAGCAACACAAUAACUUUCCAUUUAAAAAGUUGAAAGAAGUUAAUUGCAAGCUAUGAAGAAUGGACUGUUCAGACCUAUUGACCUAGACUGAGUAUUGAAGGAGCGUUCCUUCAUGUUUCCUUCUUUGUUUAUUGUUUCAAACUGUAGCAGGCAUUUACUGUUCUACCCGUCGAUCCGAUCAAAACAUGGGUCUAAGAUCUUUACAAUUAAAAUUUCUUCAAAGGACACGGCAACUUUUAGACAGUUUUUUGGUUAAAAAGGGAUUCCGUUAUAUUAAACAGCCAUUUACAUUCCUAGAAUUCAAAUGAAAAUAAGAAAGCCAUCCAACGUGCAGAUGCCAGAUACAGGAUGGUUAUCAACGGGACAGGCUUGCGGUCUCUCAAUGUCGAGUCUUACUACUGAAGUAUCGUCUGCACGGAUCACACUUAUCUGCAUCUUGCGCGCCUAUUAAAUAUUUGCACCUCACCAUUUAUCGUCCUUAUCAUAUAGGGAACAUUAAAUGUGCAGUUUGAAAAGGAUGUUUGAACAAUUUCUUCAUAUCUUUUGAAAUAUCUAGCUUCUAGCUAGGCGACUGUUGUAUGACAUGUGAUUCAGGGGGGAAGGCAUGAAAACAUUUCAAAACACUAAGAAUAGAAUAAGGACGCAGAAGACGACUUUCAUUGCAUCCUUCAGUAUAACAAAUUUGUUAAACAUUUCAACAAAUAUACGUUCCAAAAGCUUCUCUGUGCAAAAAGUAAUAUAAAAUGUUGUAUAAAAUGUCAAUUCCUUGCACUACUGCUUGAAAGUAUAUCCUAAAAUGGCCAGCCUGCUUCUUCCUUACAUACCUCACUCAUCAUUCACACUCAAAGUCAGGAUUUAAACGUUC